CCAUAAUUCCACCAUUUAAAACAUAUAAAAUUUCCUCUUUUUUGUCUAUGAUAGGAAGUUCCAACCAUUUAGAAUAAAAUAAAAAAUUUUACUAUGCAUUUUAUUUACCAAUCAAUCAAUACAAACUCUACAACCUCCACAGACCACUCCUGAGACCUUUCAUUGGCUUUAAUUCCAGACCUCUUAGUAUGCCAUGAAAAUUUGGCCAUGUUAUUUUCUCAACAUAAAAGUUCACAUUUUUUGCAAGGUACAUGAAUUUGCUAUUGUAACUUCUGCCCAACGCUUUAUGAUGUUUCUGAAUUAGCUCUGAGAUGAGGUCUGAACCAUUAGUAUAAAAUAAUGUAUUUCACUCUAAUUUCUCUUCAGACUGCACCAUCCAACAAAAACUACCAUAUUACUCUCUGAAAAUCUCUUAAUGGCUGAAAUCCAAACUCCUCAGUGUGGCAUAAAAUGCAACCCUGUCAUUGCUCCGAACUGUCUGAACUUCUGAGCAUGCCGUGUCAAUUUAUCGUGUACCUUCUGUCUGUCUAGUCUUCAAAUGACCCACCCCCUCAGCACAGCCCACACUGGGUGCCCUGUGCCAAAGGUGUGCUCCUGCUGUGGAGCGGUCAUUGCCCAUGUAUCACCUGGCUCAGCAAAACCAGACACCUUCGCAUAAAGCAUGUUUUACCAUCUAAUUCCUCUGGAGACAAAACUCAUCAUUUCACACCUUAAACUCUGCUGGCUAAACUCCAGCACCUCCACAUGGGGGUUCGAAAUGGCAUCGUCUCACUCUUCAAAUCCGAGUAUGCCAGUUCGAUCAAGGCACACAGAAAGCCGCAUAUCUUCAGCACGUCCUACAAAUUCAAUCAUAUUAUCUUUACUGCAAUAUCUACUCAGCCAUGUCGCAGUGCCUACGUUGGAACAUGAUACACCUCAGCUUAAAUUUUCCAAAGUUUCUUCAUUGACUGAAACAUAAAGUCUCAAGUACUUAACAUAAAAUGCAUCAUUUUGCCAUGUAAUGUAUCAAUCACCAGGCUGGUUUAUGAAAAACCCCCGAUCUUACCCUGUCACUCUUUUAAGCCCUUUAUGGUCUUAAAUCCAAACUCAUUAGCAUGAUAUAAAAUUUGAUCAUGUUAUCCCUUAAAAUAAAAUUUGCACUUCCUAGUACAAUAUAUUAAACUUGAUCGUGUAAUUCUACCUUAAACCCCUAUAAUGUCUCUUAAUUGUGUAUGGCAUAGAAGUCCAGAUUCUUGGCAUAAAGCAUGUAUUUUAUUUUAUAAUUUCUCGGAGUGCUAUUUAUCAAACAAGAAAAUUCACCAUGUCACUCUGUUAGAACUUUUUAUUGGCUAAAUCAAAUUCCCAGGCAUGUGCAAGGAUCGCGUCGUGUCCAGAUCUCUAAAUAAAUUUUAAAUUUCUCUGCAUAUUCACAGCAAUGAUCGUGUAACAGCUCCAGUUCUUUCAACUAUGGUGUCAACACCAAUCACAUCUCGGCGGCAUGCUCAGCAAAUCAGACUUUGGUAUUUCCCCAACUUACAAGGUCAGAAUGUUUAGGUGUGAGCCUGUUUCUUUUCUAGUUACAGUUUUUCCAUGUUUCCCUGUUGCUUGAAAUAUAAUAUCCAAUGCUGUUAGCCAUAAAAUAUAGUUUAUCGUGUUUUCCUGCAGGCCUAUCUUCCUAAACAAAAAUCUCACCAUGAUAUUUCUUAAACCCUUUGGUGAAAAUCCAAACUCUCUAGCAUGAGAUAAAAUUCUGAUUCUUUCACCCCUUAAAAUAAAAGUCCAGAUUUCUUCCCAUCAAGCCCAAAUCUAUUCAUGAAACCCCCGGCUUAAAAUCUUUUAAUGUAAUCUCAUCAUCCACGAAAGAUCUCUGUGUCUUUUCAGGGUACCCAGUUUAACCUACCUUUCUCAACUUCAGAUUUUUCAGGUUCCAUGCCCGAGACGUAAAAUCCAAAUGUCUGAGCUUAAAGUGGAAUUUAGAGCAAGUGUAUCUCAUGUUGAAAAUCUUUAGGUUGCAUUUUAUUUGAAAGAUAAAGCUUAAAUCCCCUUGUGUGAAAAGAAAAUUUUUAACUUGCGGGUUCAGUCGCUUGUGCCUCCUCAGGUUUUCUCUAGAAAGACCAGAUUUCUCAUCCCCUUACCUCAAACACAUCUUGAUCUUAUUGUUUCCAGAUAUUUCUACUUGUGAAAACCGGUAAUUAAUUAGUUCCUACAGCAACACGUCUCUGUUUUCUUCCUGGGCCAGGCACGAAGCUAGGACCCCAGGUAAGAAGCAGAGGUGGCCCUGCCCUGCCCUGCCCUGCUGUCCUGGCCAGCAAGCAGACGAGGCCCACAUCCUUGGGACUGAGGCCUGGCGGAGAGGCCUGAUGGUAAGAUACCUGCCUUCUCUCAGGAAGGGAGCAGAUGCCUGGCCCAGGAUCAGAUCAAAGCUGGGCUCACUGCCCCCAUUGGGCAGUGAGCUAGGGGGACCCCGAGGCAGCCCGGCCCCUCCCAGGAUGGUUGCCCUCCUAGGCCGACCUUGGAAAACAGCACCCCAGACUCAGUAUCUCACCAGUUUGCAUCAGCUUGUUUCUCUUCCCUGGAGGAGCUGCUCGAAGAAAAUAAAGAUCAACACCCUUCCUUAUAACAGCACCUCAGUACCCAGUAAUCUACACAGAGGGGAGCUUGUUUAACCACCUCGCUGCUGCUGCCUGGUCUGAAAGCCGCAGGUCCUUCCCUGAUGGGAGCGGAUUGGAUUGUGGAGGCAGGUGUAAGUAAUGCUGAGAUCUGAAUUUGGGGAGCGGGCUUCUCAGUGACAUUAUUACAAAUGAAUAUAUGAAUGCAUAAAUUAGCAAAGUUAAAAGGGAUAUUCCUGGAUCCAAGACGAUAAAGUGUCUAUUGUGAUGAAACCAGUUGUGCACAAAAUACUGAGGUCCAUGAAAAGACAAUAGGGCUCGGCUGUUUCAUUCCUUUUAAGAGCUGUUUAAUAUUCCGGGGUACAUGUGCACCAUUAUCGAUGGCAGCUCCUCUAUUGUUACAACCGCAGCUGUAUAUCCUCUGGGGCGGAGAAUGUGUGCAGAUAGAAGCUUUGAUCAAAGUCCUAGUCGGCUGGGUGAGGUUGUGGGUUCCAGCGUGUCCAUUGUAUCAUUUAAAAAUAAAGAAAUAAAAAUGAGUACAUAAAUAAAAGGAAGUCUGCGGAGAUUGGUGAGGAGGGCAUGUCACAAACUGACAUUUUAAUUAAUAGGAUUCUGUUAGAUUGAUGCCUGAUAAAACCGAUCUGAUCUGUUCCCACUCUUUGUCAUCGCUAACCACUCUACAGAGAGCAGCAUUCUCACAGCUAAAUCAGUAAACACGGUCCUGAUUGUGUCUACCUUAACUUCCUAGAGGUGGGCUGGCUGGGUUAAACGCUUUGUACAAGUGUAUUUUCUUAGAGUGAUCGUUCUAAAAUGCCACUUUGACCUUGUGACUGUCCUCCCUUCAGCAGUCCUCCAACAGACUUCCCGAGCUUCCAGGACGUGAUCCACGAAAAAAAAGCAACGAAAAAAAUAGCCUUUGCCUGGCAUAGAAUUCCCUGAGGGUCUGGCUUGAAGUACACCCACCUCGCUCCAGCCCAUUUCCUGCGAGGCACCCUUCUGUGUGCAACAGUUCACCAGGGCUCUGCUCCUGGAACUGCCACGCUCAUUGAUACCGUCAUAAUUUAAAAGAAUACUUGCAUUUUUCUAAACCUGAUAACAGUGGACAAGUGUUCAUCACUCGCUUUCCUUUGUCCCUCUCCAGAAGCCCCCUGAACCUGACUUGGUCUCACCGAGAGCCACCUUGCAGUCUCUCCCGGACCCGCGGUCAUGUCAGAGGUCCUGUCACCUGCACCGUGGUGCCCCAUUCAAAUAUUCCUGAAGGAAUCAUGAUGCUUUUAUAGUCGGCUCGUUCAGAUCUGUGUCCAGACUAUUUCCUGCACUUCCAAAGGGCUCAUGGGGGUCUAGAAAGAUGAGAGGGCCUCGGGAGGUCAGUGACUCAUCCACAAUGGGCCAGAAUGCAGGACCUUGAGUUCCAGCUCAGGACUGUUGUGAGGAUCAAACAAGAUAAUGUAUGCUAACGCAUGCUGCGAACACUCCGUGCUGGGUCCAGGAGGACACUUGUUUAAGCUUUGAUGUCUUUAUCCAAAAAAAGAACAGACCCCAACAGUUUCCUGCCUGAGGCCCAUAGUUCCCAAAACGCAUGGCCCAAGCAUCGAGCACCACAGCUCGGGCGCUGCUGCAGAGGGAGCAAAGCUUUGGAAGGGCUCAGGUGGUGUGCGAGGGCUUUCACCAGGCUGGCCUUGGCAUGAAAAUAAUGACCGACUGCUCGAGGACAAGUGAUCAUGGCUUUGUGUCCCUCAAAAGGACACCCUGGGGAUCCUCCGCCAGAGAGGAGGCUAUGACAAGUGAAAGCCGGGCUUAAUGAUGUCCCUUCAGUAGGUAAAAGUCAUGGCAGAGAAAGGAAGCCCUGUAGUUGUUGUGAUGCCACUCCUGACGGGCACCUCAGACGUGACCAGUGACCAGUGGGCCAACCUGACCCUUACGUGAAAUCUGGACAAAGGAAGAAGACAAAAGAAAGUUUCUGCCCUUGGGAGAGUGUGAGGAGGCGCCAUGCCAAAGAUACAAUGCUCUGUGAUUGAGUUCUUCAUGGCCCAGAAUUGCAGAGCUUGGUUGUCACUUCCGUGGAGAAGCAACAAAAGAACUCAUAAUGUCCACAAGUGCUGACUUACUCAGCUGUUCUAAGAAACAAAUUCUUGGCAGUUAGCUCUGUGGGCAAGGAACAUAGAGAAUAAUGUAUUCUAAGAAAAAUUCUGAGGUCUCCAAUUGUUUGAAAGAUGCACAUGGAGUUUUUCAAGUUGUAAUAAUUUGGCUCUUGAGAAAACAAGAACAUAUUUUAAAAAAUACUGGUUCCUCUGCAAAUCACAUGGGAGAUUUUAUCAUUGUCUAAUUAUGAGGAGCAUCACUAUCACGAACUGGUGCUGAAUACAGGACAGCUGAUUUAAUCGUUUAAUAAAGAAUGGUCAUCCAGAAUAAGGAGCAGAGAUAUAAUACAGGCAAG